rnacentral:misc_RNA from 1 species
GAUGAAGAACGUAGCGAAAUGCGAUAAGUAAUGUGAAUUGCAGAAUUCAGUGAAUCAUCGAAUCUUUGAACGCACCUUGCACCCUUUGGCAUUCUGAAGGGUAUGCUCGUUUGAGUGUCAUUGUGCUCUCACACUCCCGAUCUUUGCAUUGGGAGCAGUGGACUUGGGUUUGCUGCUUCACCGUCGCUUACCUCAAAUAGGUUAGUGCAACUCUUGGUUGGACAUAGUACGGCGUGAUAAGUGUUCUUCGCCGGUGCCUCGCAAAGAGGGUGGCCGAUCGGGAUGUUGUGCUCCAAACCGUCUUCGGACAAUCUCUGACGACUUGACCUCAAAUCGAGUAAGACUACCCGCUGAACUUAAGCAUAUCAAUAAGCGGAGGA